rnacentral:rRNA from 1 species
UACGGAGGGUGCAAGCGUUGUCCGGAUUUAUUGGGUUUAAAGGGUGCGUAGGCGGCCCGUUAAGUCCGGGGUGAAAGCCCACAGCUCAACAGUGGAACUGCCCUGGAAACUGGAGAACUUGAGUACAGACGAGGGCGGCGGAAUGGAUGGUGUAGCGGUGAAAUGCAUAGAUACCAUCCAGAACCCCGAUUGCGAAGGCAGCUGCCUAGACUGUAACUGACGCUGAGGCACGAAAGCGUGGGGAGCGAACAGG